GUCCCAUGGUAAGGGAAUUUCCGUAAUAACUCUUUAAAUCUUUCCCAUGCCUUAUAUAGAGAUUCAUCAUCCAUCUACUGAAAAGUAGUGAUCUCGUUCCGCAACUU
rfam:Gossypium arboreum cultivar AKA8401 contig_7727_9, whole genome shotgun sequence.